AUCUUGCUGGAGAUCUCUGUCUGCCUGUAGCCUUCUAAAGUGUGGGAGGACCAGACUAUGCGAACCUGCUUGUUAAAAUCAGCACUGAGUUCAGUUUGAAUGACGUUGUUUCUACCUCUGCCUUGGUAUUAAUAUUGAUCUAAUCAGCACCUGACGACUGAUUUCUCAUGUCUCUGGGGACACUGUACCUUGUGCAUGCUCUAAAUGUAGUGUGAAUAUGGAACCUCAUCCUUCCAGGAGAAGUAAUGGGACCUGAGCAGAAUUCCUCCCCUCCCAAGGGCUGCUCAGCACUUCACAGGACUCUAUAUGACAUGAGUUUGGUGGGAGUUAUGCUAAUGUCUGUGUUAACCCUCUGAGCAUAGUUAAUGCAAAUCAGAUGUUUCUCAGGAUUAAACAGUUAGCUGGAGCUGCUUUGCAAUGGGAGUUAGGAACACAAAGGCACUUUAGAAAAAUCCCACUAGGUAUCACUAUCUAUAUCUCACAGUUCCCAAACACACUUAAAAAAUCAGACCCUUAGGGGCACAGAUCUGAGUGAAAGCUAUACAUUCUCACUAGGUGAGAUAUAAAUUCCUCAGGACCUGAUUCACAGCACAGAUUCACUGAUUCUAAAUGCUCAUUUUUUCAUGGAAUGUUAUUCACUGGAAAGGAGAGAUCAGGAGAACAGUGAGUAGACAAGCAAUUGGGGGACUCACUUUCAGGGCACAGCUUAUCCUUAUCCAAAUACCUAUUCAAGUAUUCUGCACAAGAUAAAAUAGCUCUACCAAGGAAGACUUUGAGGAUGCUGGCACUCAGCUCCCUCCUGGAGCAUGUCUUGACCCAAGAGAAGGAUCUAACUGCAGGGUCAGAGGUUGGAAGGAGGCAUUGCUGCAGGCAGUGUCCUGCAGGGACAUGUGUUUGUGGUGGCAGGAGCCCCACAGUGACCAUCAGCUAGCUCAACUGAUUGCACUGGGCAGGAUAGAGGAUGGUCCAAGAAAUAGAGGGAUGGAGGAUCUCACACCCACUUACUGCAGGGCUUGGUAAAAAAAAAAAUUAGGGUACAGUCAUUUUAUUCUAUGUGUAUGAUUCCACAGUAUUGCUCCUCUCCAGUCAUGCAAAAAGAAGUUGUCAAUGCACCACCUUUCAGGAGUACUUUGCCCUUUUGUUUUUCUAAAGCUGCAUGGGAAGUGCUAGGUAAAAUGAAUGUGUCUCAGAGAAGUUAAAUGGAACAACUGUGCAUUGGACUGGUGCAGUUUCCUUCCUGUCACAUUCAAACGCAUCAGCAGCCCCAUCCAAGCACACACUGGGCUAGGUUAGCGAGCUCAUCAGGCAUGCUAUCCUUGCCUUCUGACUUCCUCCUGCAAAUAAAAACGGUGGCCCUAAUGAGAAUUAAUUAGGGCUGGGGGUGGAGGCAGGGCGGGGGGGCAUCAUGUUUUUGUUUGUAUUGUUUGUUUUCUAUAAACCUGUGGUGGGAAGAAAAAAAAUCAUAUUAGUUCUCCAUGCACUAUAGUAAAUGUAAUAAAAAAAUGAACACAUGGUAAUUAGCUUCUCCAUUAAGUAUACCAAGCAU
rnacentral:lncRNA from 1 species